AAGGUUGCCUUUGGAGGGUUGGCCAACCUAACCUCCGAGAGUGCUUUGUGCACGUUAAACGGACCGAGAGCUUUGCUCCGGCCGCACGGUUUCGGCCGUGUCUAUUAAACCUCAACAGAACUACCUUCUGUUUGAAUCUUACAACUAGUAGCACU
rnacentral:rRNA from 1 species